UACGGGGGGGGCAAGCGUUGUUCGGAAUUACUGGGCGUAAAGGGCUCGUAGGCGGCCAACUAAGUCAGACGUGAAAUCCCUCGGCUUAACCGGGGAACUGCCUCUGAUACUGGAUGGCUUGAGAUUGGGAGAGGGAUGCGGAAUUCCAGGUGUAGCGGUGAAAUGCGUAGAUAUCUGGAGGAACACCGGUGGCGAAGGCGGCAUCCUGGACCAACACUGACGCUGAGGAGCGAAAGCGUGGGGAGCGAACAGG
rnacentral:rRNA from 1 species